UCGCGGAUCAGCAUGCCGCGGUGAAUACGUUCCCGGGCCUUGUACACACCGCCCGUCACACCAUGGGAGCCGGUAAAUACCCGAAGUCAGUAGUCCAACCUCGUGAGGACGCUGCCGAAGGUAGGAUUGGCGACUGGGGUGAAGUCGUAACAAGGUAUC
rnacentral:rRNA from 1 species